CGGCGCACGGGUGCGUAACGCGUAUGCAAUCUGCCCUGUACAGAAGAAUAGCCCUGAUAAAUUGGGAUUAAUGCUUCAUGGUAAUAUGAUAUCGCAUGAUAUUAUAUUUAAAACUCCGGUGGUACAGGAUGGGCAUGCGUAUGAUUAGCUAGAUGGUGAGGUAACGGCUCACCAUGGCGACGAUCAUUAGGGGUCCUGAGAGGGUGAUCCCCCACACUGGUACUGAGACACGGACCAGACUCCUACGGGAGGCAGCAGUGAGGAAUAUUGGGCAAUGGAGGCAACUCUGACCCAGCCAUACCGCGUGAAGGAAGACUGUCCUAUGGAUUGUAAACUUCUUUUAUAUGGGAAGAAUAAGGUCUACGUGUAGACUGAUGACUGUACCAUAUGAAUAAGGACCGGCUAACUCCGUGCCAGCAGCCGCGGUAAUUCGGAGGGUUCAAGCGUUAUCCGGAUUUAUUGGGUUUAAAGGGUCCGUAGGCGGACUAAUAAGUUCAGUGGUGAAAUCCUAUAGCCUCAACUAUAGAACUGCCAUUGAAACUGUUAGUCUUGAAUUUAUUUGGAAGUUGGCGGAAUGAGUGGUGUAGCGGUGAAAUGCAUAGAUAUUACUCAGAACACCGAUUUGCGAAGGCA
rnacentral:rRNA from 1 species